rnacentral:sRNA from 12 species
CAGCCCAUGCUGAAAAUUAUCCGAUAUAGGGCCGGGAUAGUAGAACCCGAAAUCCCGGCAGGAGAUAAGAAA